ensembl:snoRNA F37A8.7 ncRNA
UUUUCCCAUGUGAUGUAUCAAUUUUGCAGCAGUCUCACCUCGUGCUGCUUCAGCCGAAAAAGUCACAAGUGUGUGCCCUCGUAUCGUCCGUUCUGAUCUACCCAAAUGUCCAUCUGUCUUUCUUUUUUCAAAAACUCAGCUGACUUGAUUGA